UUAAAGUCAUAUGAAACCAGUGAGUGGUGAAAAAUAAUGUUUAUCCAAUUCUUGAACCAAUUCAUGUAUAUAUCAUAAACUUAGUCCUCUGUGCACGAUUUUAUCAUUUUUUACGCAAAUAUAUCGUAUAAUCGUCAAUUUUUUUUCUCUCUGUCUGUUAUGAUUUAACAAAUAUGGCUGCUUAUUAAAUGCCGUGUUUUGAAGUCGAA
rnacentral:lncRNA from 1 species